rnacentral:rRNA from 1 species
GGAAGGAUCAUUACUGAAUUGUCAAACGGGCUGUUGCUGGUCCUCAAAUGGGGACAUGUGCACGCUCUGUUUACACAUCCACUCACACCUGUGCACCCUCUGUAGUUCUACGGUAUGGGGGACCCCGUCUUCCUUCCGUGGUUCUAUGUCUUUACACACACACUGUAAUAAAGUCUUAUGGAAUGUAUGCCGCGUCUAACGCAAUACAAUACAACUUUCAGCAACGGAUCUCUUGGCUCUCGCAUCGAUGAAGAACGCAGCGAAAUGCGAUAAGUAAUGUGAAUUGCAGAAUUCAGUGAAUCAUCGAAUCUUUGAACGCACCUUGCGCCCCUUGGCUAUUCCGAGGGGCAUGCCUGUUUGAGUAUCAUGAACACCUCAACUCUCAUGGUUUGCCGUGAUGAGCUUGGACCUUGGGGGUUUUGCUGGCCUGUGGUCAGCUCCUCUCAAAUGAAUCAGCCUCCCAGUGUUUGGUGGCGUCACGAGUGUGAUAACUAUCUACGCUCGCGGUUGUCCACCAGGUAACCUUUGGUGACAAAGGUUCGCUGGAGCUCAUAGAUGUCUCUCCUCAGCGAGGACAGCUUUUUAACGUUCGAUCUCAAAUCAGGUAGG